CUUUCAGUAGUUUGUGUAAAGAACUUGCAUUGCCAUCACCAAGGCAAAUCGAAUCCGUCUCUUAUUCAGGAGUUCAACAAAGCAUUCUAGAAGUAGAGAGAACUUGGAAGUGAACACUUAGAAAGAUAAUUGAAAGUGUCUCUCCAAUUACUGCUCUGCAGAGAAUCGGUGGCCAUUCGAUGUGGAUUUUCCAAAGUUGAUUGCCAAUUCAGACAUUUUUCCACAGCUUUUAGCCAUCCCAAGAAAUAAUAUAAAGGAGAGUUCGUCGGCAGAGCCCGCCUCACCCAGAACUGAUAAAGGAGAGUGCGUCGGCAGAGCCCGCCUCAUCCAGAACUGAUAAAGGAGAGUGCGUCGGCAGAGCCCGCCUCAUCCAGAACUG